rnacentral:lncRNA from 1 species
AAUGGAUCCAAUUACACGUCAAGUAGGACAACAUAUUGAAAUGGAACCAGAGUGGGAAGCAGCCUUCACACUACAAAUGAAAUUAACACAUGUCAUUUCAAUGAUGCAGGACUGGUGUGCUUCAGAUGAAAAAGUGUUAAUUGAAGCUUACAAGAAAUGUCUCGCUGUACUGAUGCAGUGUCAUGGUGGUUAUACUGAUGGUGAACAGCCAAUCACACUAAGCAUUUGUGGACAUUCAGUGGAAACUAUCAGAUACUGUGUUUCCCAAGAAAAAGUUAGCAUUCACCUCCCAGUUUCUCGCUUACUUGCAGGUUUACAUGUAUUAUUAAGCAAAAGUGAAGUGGCAUAUAAAUUUCCAGAGCUCCUACCUCUAAGUGAACUUAGCCCACCCAUGUUGAUAGAACACCCUCUUAGAUGUCUUGUUCUGUGUGCCCAAGUACAUGCCGGAAUGUGGAGAAGAAAUGGGUUCUCUCUAGUAAACCAGAUUUAUUACUACCAUAAUGUGAAAUGCAGACGUGAGAUGUUUGACAAGGAUGUAGUAAUGCUUCAGGUAAUGAAUUAAAA